CACGUAGGCACCAAGCGUUGUCCGGAUUUAUUGGGCGUAAAGAGCUCGUAGGCGGUUCAGUAAGUCGGGUGUGAAAACUCUGGGCUCAACCCAGAGACGCCACCCGAUACUGCUGUGACUUGAGUACGGUAGGGGAGUGGGGAAUUCCUGGUGUAGCGGUGAAAUGCGCAGAUAUCAGGAGGAACACCGGUGGCGAAGGCGGUUCUCUGGGCCUGACCUGACACUGAGGAGCGAAAGCGUGGGGAGCAAACAGG
rnacentral:rRNA from 1 species